GCCCGGGGCCCGACCUCCACCGCCUGCAGAAGGCGCCCGGGCCACCGGCCGCCGCCUUCCGGGAAAUCGGCUCUCGGCCACCCGCCGCCACCACGAAGGCCGAGGGGAAGCGGCCGAGCCCUGGGGCCUCCGGGCUCCAGCAGCAGGCUCCGAGAAGAAUGGAGAUUUGCAGAUCUGAUAAUGAGCCAGUUAAUGACAUAAAUGAUACCUCAAGAACCUCACUAAACCAUCCAGGUCCUACAAUUUAAUCUGUAAUAAAUACUCCUGCAUCAUUGCGAGAUGGCUGCUCAUAAUGGCAAAUGAAAUAUGCUGGUAUGAUAGGUACAAUAAAUCUGGAUUUUCCUAUGGUUCCCUCAGGCUAGAACAAUAUGUAACCACAGUGCGCACUGUCAGGAUGAGCAGAUCUCAAAGCCAUCAUAAAAUCUAAAUGGGGACUAAUUAGGAGGCCCUUCCCUUCCAGAGUUACUAUUUCUAUUGACAUUUUCCAUGCAUGAGCCUCUCCAUAACAUCAUAAGUCACCAAGAUAAGAACUCCCUAGAUUAUAGGGAAAAAGCUUUAAUGGAGAAGUUGAACUCAAAGGCGAUGCAUAAAUUUUCCUUUUGAUACUAUGGGAAGUCUGUGUUCAGUACUUUCUUUACAAACUUUCCAGCCAGGAGCAGGGCACUUCGCAGCCCCUCUGCGCGCUUGCCUUUGGCCUGGCCCGUCGGUGUCCGCGCCGAGCGCCGGGUCGGCAGGUGCCCAGGGAGGGCAUCAAGGCCAAGGGGCCGCUUGUAAAACUUCAGGUCAGGACAGCCGGGAGGCGGGCUUAGCAGGUUGGCGGCUGCUUCAGGGCCUUUUGGCUCGAAGGUUGGGAUUUUCCUAAAGGUCACCUAAGAUUCGGCUUUCCCAAGGCCCUUCCAAUCAGCAACGAACGAGCAGAGUUCUUCAAACAGGCCCUUCCAAGGCAGGGAAGUGACAGCUCUUUCGACUAGCCAGGGUGCCACAGGGUGCCACAGGGUGCCACAGGUCCUGGGGAAGGGUGAGCAGUGCGGCUUUGUGCUGCAGGGGGUUGGGAAGGAGAUCCCCAGGCACCCUGAAGGGGCAAGGUGGUGGCUAGAAACCAGGGCCUUCCUGUCAGAUGAACCUUCUCUUUAGUUGCCUACCAAGGAUAUGACAAGUUUGGGAAGUUUCACGAGAAGCAAAAUCCUCAGUGAAAGUGGCGAUGAAAAUAACUAAUCCUGUAGGGUUGUUGGAAGGGUUGAAAUGUGCAUGUGGAUAAUUUAAAAAAUAGCUAUGAAUAUUAUCCUGAGGUUUAUUAUUUCAUUUCAAAGGAAUAAGAUUAGGAAAAUACCACGGAGAGGGGAUGUGCACCCCAGUAUCCUCUUUUCUUAAUCUUUGUUUUAUGCAAGAGGAAAAGCCAAACAUGGAGGUGGUGAGUUGUUGUAUGAUCUUAUAAAACGUUAAGUCCUGGAUUAAAGUCCUGGUCCAAUUCUUAGCUUAAUUAUUUGCAAGUAUUAUCUGUCUUUGGUAUUUGUUCAAGUGUUUUUGGUUACUGAAUAAUGAGUGCAGGACCAAGCCCAGCACUGAGCUCUCUGUGGGCAAGUUAGUCCUGCAAUUCCGUUAAGAGCUGAGGUUUGGAGCUCUAUGGGGUCCUCAAGCAUUUUCUCUCUAGAGUGUGGGUCUGCAACCAAGACCACUUACAACUGUGCAUAAAAAAUAAAGAGAACACCAGCAGAGGGAGAAGGGGAAGCAGACUCCCUCUGAGCGACGAGGCCUAUGUGGGGCUCCAUCCCAUAGUCCUGAGCCCAAGCAGACAUUCAACUGACUGAGCCACCCAGGCACCCCUGGUGAACUCAUUUCCUUUGCUUGUCUUAGCCACCGAAAUGCAGCUUGUAUCAGCUAAUACUGAAAAUUGUGAAAAUGUCCUCUUCAUGUUUUAUAUUUUUAUAGAAAAUGCCAUGGUUAGCUGUAAAUAUAAGAACAUCAAUGUAAUGAAGAUAAAAUAUAUUUCAAAGCCUAUAUAGCGUUCAAACUUUGCAGUUUUUUGUGAAGUUAAUAUGUAUAAAUUACAUUUAAAAUAUUUAAGAAAUACAAGUUAGAUUGUUAGAACCUAACACAAUUUUCCUUGUAAGACUAUUUAUCAUUAUUUAACUGAAGCACUCAUCUUCUUGAUUUUUCUCACAUCAACAAUACUAAAAUAAUUUUGUUAAAAGCAAUGUAUACACUGAAUUCUACACUGAAGCCACCACUAAAAAAAAAAAAAAAAAAAAAAAGGUAAUAACAA